AAAAACAUUGCCUCUCGACUCAACAAUGAGAGGUUCAUCCUGCCCAAUGACAACAUAGUUCAAUGGCCGCGGUACCCUGACCGUGCAAAGGUAGCAUAAUCACUUGCCCCUUAAUUAGGGGCUGGCAUGAAAGGACACACGAAAGCUUCCCUGUCUCACAAUAACAAAUAAAAAUUAAUCUUCAAGUGAAAAAGCUUGAAUGAAACUGCAGGACAAGAAGACCCCGUUGAGCUUUAUUCUCUAUAGACUAAAUCAAAUAUUAAAUAUAUCAUAAACCUAAAAAGAAUUUAGUUGGGGUGACUAAGGAACACCAAAAACUUCCUUUUAUUAGUUAGGAUCAUUCUCCCUACAAAUUGACCCAUUACACAUGAUCAAAAAAAUAAGCUACCACAGGGAUAACAGGCUAAUCUUUCUCAAGAGCCCAAAUUGUCAGAAAGGAUUGGCACCUCGAUGUUGGCUUAGGGGCCCCUAAUGGUGCAGAAGCCAUAAAUGGUAGGUUUGUUCAACCUUUAAAACCCUACGUGAUCU
rnacentral:rRNA from 1 species